GGGCCCGCACAAGCAGUGGAGUAUGUGGUUUAAUUCGAAGCAACGCGAAGAACCUUACCAGGUCUUGACAUCGAGUGAAGAACGCAGAGAUGCGUUCGUCCUUCGGGACACGAAGACAGGUGGUGCAUGGUUGUCGUCAGCUCGUGUCGUGAGAUGUUGGGUUAAGUCCCGCAACGAGCGCAACCCUUAUCAUUAGUUGCUACGCAAGAGCACUCUAAUGAGACUGCCGUUGACAAAACGGAGGAAGGUGGGGAUGACGUCAAAUCAUCAUGCCCCUUAUGACCUGGGCCACACACGUACUACAAUGGCGAUUAACAGAGUGUCGCAACAACGCGAGUUGAAGCAAAUCACUAAAAAUCGUCUCAGUUCGGAUUGUAGGCUGCAACUCGCCUACAUGAAGCUGGAAUUGCUAGUAAUCGCGAAUCAGAAUGUCGCGGUGAAUACGUUCCCGGGCCUU
rnacentral:rRNA from 1 species